UAGGGAAACAAAGCUGGGAGCGUCGCCCGGGCGAUAGGAAAACCUUAGGAGCUCUGAGGUGGUUGAGGUGCUGGAAAGCUUCUUGCGUCGUCAAGGAAAUACCUGCCAAUGUAGAGAAGUGUCGGCGGAAUCUUGGAAGUGAUGAGAUAAUUACCUGGGACUGCAGUUACUGGAUCAUAAGGACAGACCAGAAAAUCAGGAGACAAGGUGUUGGGGCAAGGAAUAACAACUAUUCAGACAGCCGGCAGACCAAGAAGGUGGAAGACUGAUGUCCUGGAGAGCCAUCUCCCCCAGAAAGUCCUCAUUAGGACCACAGUCAUGUCUCCUUUUCUAACUGGAGGGAAGCUUCAACUGGAGGGAAGCUUCUCGUGGGUGCAAGACGGCAGAGGCAGGAGGUGGUAGACUUGACAGCAGAGAAAUGAGCUGGUGCUUGUCCAUUUUCUCUGCGUAUCAGUGUCUGUAAACAUGCAUUGAGAUCAUCAGCUAAAUUUGAAGGGAAACGUGUUGGCGACUUUAGGAAAAAGGAGAAGGCAUAAAACAGUUCUGAAGGAGGGUAAGCAGUAAAAGACAGAGAGCAGAAUUGGCCUCUUGGAUUUUUCCCCACCAAUC